ACCGUCAGUCCCAUGGACAAAUUCAUAGGAUAAUCUAUGCAUGAUUUCAACCAAACAAAAUGGAUAAACCAUCUGCAGGAAUGAGUAAAGUUGGCUCCCGGUCAACAACCUCUCUUCCCCCGGAGCCUGUGGAUAUAAUCCGGAGUAUGUCGUGCUACCGGCGUGUCAAGCUGAACAUUGGGGGUCUGCCGCAUGAGGUCCUGUGGAGAACCUUGGACCGACUUCCGCGCACUCGACUGGGGAAGUUACGAGACUGCAAAACCCACGAAGCCCUCAUGGAUGUAUGCGAUGACUACAACCUGGAUGAGAAUGAGUACUUUUUUGACCGACAUCCCGGGGCGUUCACAUCCAUACUGAACUUCUAUCGCACGGGGAAGCUGCACAUGAUGGAGGAAAUGUGCGCUCUGUCCUUCAGCCAGGAACUGGACUACUGGGGGGUGGAUGAGAUCUACUUGGAAUCGUGUUGCCAGGCACGGUACCACCAAAAGAAAGAACAAAUGAAUGAGGAGCUCAAACGAGAAGCCGAUACGCUGAAGGACUGUGAGGGUGAAGAGUUCGACAAUACGUGUUGUUCAGAGAAACGGAAGAAACUCUGGGACCUACUCGAGAAGCCGGGCUCAUCCGUAGCAGCCAAGAUUUUGGCCAUCAUCUCUAUCUUAUUCAUUGUGCUCUCCACUAUCGCUUUGUCCCUUAACACCCUCCCGGAACUGCAAGACACAGACGAGUUUGGUCAGACUACCGAUAAUCCCCAGCUGGCUCAUGUGGAGGCCGUGUGCAUCGCUUGGUUCACCAUGGAGUACCUUCUUCGCUUUCUUUCCUCACCAAACAAAUGGAAAUUUUUCAAAGGUCCCCUGAAUGUCAUCGACCUGCUGGCCAUCCUACCAUAUUAUGUCACAAUAUUCUUGACAGAGUCCAACAAGAGCGUCUUGCAGUUUCAGAAUGUACGGCGGGUGGUACAAAUCUUUCGAAUAAUGCGAAUUUUGCGUAUCCUCAAACUGGCACGUCACUCUACUGGGUUGCAGUCACUGGGGUUUACACUGCGACGAAGUUACAACGAGCUGGGCCUGCUUAUACUCUUCUUAGCCAUGGGCAUCAUGAUCUUUUCCAGCCUAGUUUUCUUUGCAGAGAAGGACGAGGAUGAUACCAAGUUCAAGAGCAUCCCUGCCUCCUUCUGGUGGGCCACUAUUACCAUGACCACUGUGGGAUAUGGGGACAUUUACCCCAAGACACUUCUGGGGAAGAUUGUUGGUGGCCUCUGCUGUAUAGCAGGAGUGUUAGUCAUUGCUCUGCCCAUUCCCAUCAUCGUCAACAAUUUCUCAGAAUUCUACAAGGAACAAAAAAGACAAGAGAAGGCCAUCAAGAGACGUGAGGCUCUUGAGCGAGCCAAACGCAAUGGCAGUAUAGUGUCCAUGAAUGUUAGAGAAGCAUUUUCACGUGGUGCAGAGCUUUUGGAUGUGGUGGUCAUGGAUAAGAGUGAAAGAACCCAGGACAACCAUCUCUCACCCAGUCGGUGGAAGUGGUCAUCUAAGCAGGCAGCAUCUGAGACCAGUUCAAAUCAUUCCUUUAAUCCAGACCAAGGUUCCCCGAGCAAGGCAAGGGCCUCUAGUCCACAGAGGCUUAAUGCACAGAAACUGGAAGAAAUGUACAACCAGAUGGCUAAGACUCAGUCACAGCCCAACCUGAACACCAAAGACAGAAGCUCAUCUCAAGCAGGACAUAGAAGGAAUGAGAUUGAGCUAGAAGCCUUGCCAGGUCAAGAUGGUGACCCACUAAAUGGGGGUCGCGAAGGGGUGGUAGACAUGAAAAGUCUGUCCAGCUUCGACAGUUAUAUCAGCUGUGCAACAGAUUUUCAAGAGAACCCACGAUUCCCCUACAAUCCCACAGGGGGCUUGUCCCUCCCAGAGGGCUCUCGGUUCUCCCACAGCCCUGGUUCAGGCCUCUCUAGUCGGGUCAGUGUGAACCCAAGCCUGCAGACCACCAUGGAGCAUGAGACCAUGCUUACAUCACCUUGUUCUGGUGCUAAACUUCUUAACACUGAUGGUUCACGAAAACCAGGUCUGCUUGGAAGCUCUCAGAAAGUGCAUUUGGUUAGGGUGAAUCAUCGCAGUUUUGGUGAGACCUGCCCAUCGGGCGGUCCUCUAUCCGACAACUCUCUUCUCUCCGAUAACUCCAUCCUAAGUCCAGAGGUGUCGGUCUACACAACAGCCAGCAGCAGGACUCCACCAAAGACACCUGAAAGGAAGGCAUUCACCCCUGCGGUCUUCACUUUCUAUGAUGCAUCUAUUAGUAAGUACAUUGAUGCCGACACGGAUGACGAGGAGCACUUGCGUGAGGGUGGUCAGUCAGAGCGUCUGCUGGGUUGCCUGAGCUCCAAGCCUCAUCUCGGUGGUUACCAGGGGGGCAACAACCAUUUGGAAGCUGCCCAGAGGCUGCUAGGUCAGAACUGCCUAUUCCCAUUGGGAAGUAGCCCAAGUGUUGGUCACGAGAACCACGUGGCUUCAGAGAACUUGCAGAGGCCCAAAGGGGACAGGGGAAAUUCCAAUACAUUUGAUAAGGGCCUCUGAGGCCUUAGAGUUGUGAAAAACUCUGAAAGGAGUCCAAGAAGGAAUAGAAGGCCAAGGACAUUGGAGAAAGCGGAGACUAAUGUACAAUGGAGAAUCAUUAUACAAGGGGGCAUACCCUGGUGACUUUAUGUGGGGAGCGAGAAGAUGAUCAGGAAAACUCGGCCUCUAGUGAGUCUUGGGAGAGUGUAUGCUUCCAUCCCUGUCUCAGCAAUUUAGCUGAGUUGAACUGAAGUGUGAACGGAAUACCAAUUUCUGCAAGAGCCAGUGAGAAAGGCGUGUAUGGGAGGCAGACAGAAAAAAAUAGAAGAGAGAGGGCUCUUCUUCUCUCUGCUCAAUAUGGAAUAAUUUAUGAUUGCCAUGAUGUGUACCCUUACAUUAAUAGAGCGAGAUGAAACUGCUUUCAGAGAGUUAAAGUCCCUUGCUCUGGUUGUAGUCUUGUAUGUGGAUUUUAUAAUGUCCAUGAACUUUCGAUUGUGGGAUUCUCAUUUAAUACUCUAUUUAUUGCUUAGAUUUAAAUGGAGAGAACAUAAUUACUGAAAUGUUACUUUACUGAAGCCAUUCAAAACUCUCUCUUUCGUGUAUCUGUUUGGCUGUGGGGCCCUGAGACACUGGUUUCUUGUGAUGAUCCAUGGGUGAAUCUCAUGCCCAGGUAAUAUUUCAUUAUAAAUUUAAAAUAUACUGUAUAUAUAUAUAUAUAUAUAUAUAUAAUAUUAUAUUAUAUUUUGCAUAAGGAAAACAAAGCCUGUAUUAGGACCUUUAAGAGAUUUUGUCUUAUGGCAUC